rnacentral:rRNA from 1 species
UUGAUCAUGGCUCAGAUUGAACGCUGGCGGCAGGCCUAACACAUGCAAGUCGGACGGCAGCACGGGCUUCGGCCUGGUGGCGAGUGGCGGACGGGUGAGUAGCGCUUGGGAAUCUGCCUGGCAUUGGGGGAUAACUCGGGGAAACUCGAGCUAAUACCGCAUACGCCCUGAGGGGGAAAGCAGGGGACCUGCUUGCAGGCCUUGCGAUGCUGGAUGAGCCCAAGCCGGAUUAGCUGGUUGGUGGGGUAAAGGCCUACCAAGGCGACGAUCCGUAGCUGGUCUGAGAGGAUGAUCAGCCACACUGGGACUGAGACACGGCCCAGACUCCUACGGGAGGCAGCAGUGGGGAAUAUUGGACAAUGGGGGCAACCCUGAUCCAGCCAUGCCGCGUGUGUGAAGAAGGUCUUAGGAUUGUAAAGCACUUUAAGUCAGGAGGAAGUGCCGCUGGCGAAUACUUGGCGACAUUGACGUUACCGACAGAAUAAGCACCGGCUAACUUCGUGCCAGCAGCCGCGGUAAUACGAAGGGUGCGAGCGUUAAUCGGAAUUACUGGGCGUAAAGCGCGCGCAGGCGGUUCGAUAAGAAGGAUGUGAAAUCCCCGGGCUCAACCUGGGCACUGCAUUUUUAACUGUCGGGCUAGAGUACGGUAGAGGGUGGUGGAAUUUCCCGUGUAGCGGUGA